UACGUAGGGUGCAAGCGUUAAUCGGAAUUACUGGGCGUAAAGCGUGCGCAGGCGGUGAUGUAAGACAGAUGUGAAAGCCCCCGGCUCAACCGGGGAAGUGCAUCUGAAACUGGCGAGCUAGAGUACGAAAGAGGGUCGCGGAAUUCCCGGUGUAGAGGUGAAAUUCGUAGAUAUCGGGAGGAACACCGGUGGCGAAGGCGGCGACCUGGGUCGAUACUGACGCUGAGGUGCGAAAGCGUGGGGAGCAAACAGG
rnacentral:rRNA from 1 species